rnacentral:SRP_RNA from 1 species
GCCAGGCGCGGUGGCUCACGCCUGUAAUCCCAGCACUUUGGGAGGCUGAGGUGGGUGGAUCACCUGAGGUCAGGAGUUCAAGACCAGCCUGGCCAACAUGGUGAAACCCCGUCUCUA